GCCAGUUGGGGAACGGCGACGACACUUACCGCGGCGGUGCGCCGUCUCUCUCUCCCUGACUCUCAGUCUGUCUUUCCCAUCCUCCCGACAGCCUCAAAUAGAGCAGUCCCUUAUACUGUUCAGCCUGUGGGGAGCAGAGGAUUGCAGAGUUGGUUGGUUUUGUUGUUUCUUUUUUUUUUUUUCUUUUUCUUUUUUUUCUUUUUUUUUUUUUUUGUUAACCAUCCAGAGGUAGCACUCCCGACCCGACCGCGUCUCUUCUCCGCGCUCACUGCUGCACAGACCCAGCACUGAUCUCUCUCCUUCCACCAACACCCUGCGCCGGUUGCCUUCACUGCACACCGUACAGUCCUUCUCUUCAUACCGCGGCAGCUGUAACUGGAACAGCCCCGGAGCCGGCAGACCCCUCUCUCUUCCCCAUUUCCCUCCAUCCACCUGCUUCUCAUUGCGCACCGUUCCGACACAGCGCCCCCGCUCCGCGCUGCUGCUCUCCCCUUACACUGCGCGGAAACUGCGCGAACCGCGUAGCCGCGCCCCGCCGCUGCACAGAGCCCCGGGCCGGCUGUGCUUCUGCGAGUUCUCCUCCGCCUUUCUCGACCGCUUCGGUGCUCAUUUAUGCAUGCACCCAGCGCCUCUCUCUGAUGGCUAUCCUCAGGAUCCGGGCUGAUUUUAAUUCUUUUUUUUUUUUUCUUAAAUUAUUUCUGUAUUUAUUUUUUCUUCUGUGGCAACGGCAACUUUUUACUUUAACAUUUAAUGCUUCUCUGCCCUUCUAUACUUUUUUUUUUCCUUGCUUUUUUUUUUCUUCAUCUUACACAAGUAAUUAGGUUCUUUUUUUUAACUUCUGUAUUAACUGAGUAACUGUUUUCCAGUUCCCAUUGCCCGAGAUUUUUCCCUGCUUCAGUGACUCCAUUUCAGUGGUUAAUGCUUUCUGAACCCGUAUGACUUACAGAUAUAUAUGUAUGUAUGUUUUUCUCUACUGAUUUCUUUUAUUUAUCAUGUACUUUUUAAUUUUAUUUUUAAGAAAUUAUUAUUUGUUUUAGAUUAAUAGGGAAGAAGAAUCAUUCAGUUUUGGAAUUUGCUGGGGUUCUUACUCAGUUCUAGCCUUAUAUCUUGGCAACACCAAUAUGUUUUUUUCCCCGAUGUCUUUUUCUUGUCUUUCAUAUUGAUGCCUCUAGAAAGAUAACUUAUCAGCAGAGUGACAAAGUUUUAUAUCCUUUAUAUGGUCCUGUGUGCUAUCUUAGAAGUCUGACAGAGGCUUUACAAAUCCAAGUCAUGUUGAAUGAGUUCUGUCCAGUAAUAAGAUCAUUGAGAAUGAGCUCAGCUUCAAGCUUCAACUCUCUCUCUUUCUCUCUUUCUCUCUUUCUUAAUACCAAAGUUGUAAAUUUGUUUCUUUAUCAUUAGUUACCACUGUCUUAACUCCUAUGGUGAAAGACUGAAAAUGAGCCCGUCAUUAGAAAUUGACUUUGAAUACUCUUUCCCAUACAAACGCAGAAAAAAAUUGUCCCCCACAGCUCUGCAUGGCUCUCCAGCCUUACUGCUGUUGAGAAAGUAAUGUUGCAACUUGACAUGUCAAAGCUUCUCUUCAUUGACUCAAUUUUCAGAACAUUAUCAUCCGGUCAUUAUUUCCAGUGUUACUAGGCUACAAGACAGCAUUUAAUCAGAAGCCAGGAAUAGUCGCUGCAUUAAUUCUGAUAGUAUGAAUAACUUAUGAAGCUCCAUUUCUCAAUAUUUCCAAAGUGAACAUUAAAGCCAGAAGCAUUUUUGUUAAUAAAUGUAUUUUAUUUUACAUAUAGUAGUCAUUUAUGACAACAGUCAAGAAUUACGUGCGAAGAGUGAUUUCCAAAGCAGUUUUAAAAGUCUGAAGGAGUGCUAACUACCACUAUUGCUAUCUCAGGAUGGUGGGCAAAUAUAUUUCUACCUGACACAUCCUCCUCCUCCACCAGUGCCAAUUAUAACUCAGAUGGACUCGGGGGAUUACUGACAAUUUCUUUAAUGGUGUGUGAGAGUUCCCAUUGCCCAUAUAGAUUUACUCUGCAACACAGACAGUGACAAAAAGAUGCCAUCUCUGUGUCAUACUGUCAAUGGAUGCCAUGGAGAGAAUCUCAAUGCCAUUUCAAAAUCUGCUAGCAGAGAGGAAAGUGAAGACUAAUCUGAGGAUUCAAAAUGGAAUGUUCAGCUUUGACUGAGACACCAGACUUUGCUGAAGUCUCAUAAUGACAAAGGAUUUGUAGCAAAACCAGUUCUUCAUGGAAGAGUCUGAGAACAUGAGAAAAAAAAAGAGCAGAAAUGGUACUUAGAGCAUACUUGAUAGAGCAGUGUGAGGACCAAUAUAUGUGCUAACUGGGCCUGGAAAAUUAAAUCCUCCUUUGUAUAGAUUAUUCUUUUGAAGAAUCUGAGUAUACUUUGCUCAAGGCUUUCUUUCCCUGAUUAUUUUGUGAAGAAUGAGAGAGUUAGAACUGUAUAAGAAUAGAGUAAUUAAGGUUAGCAAAGACCAAUAAGAUCAUCUAGUCAAACUGUCAACACAUCCUCAACACGUCCUCUAACCAUGUCCUUCAGUCCAGUGCAUUACCACUCUUUUAGAGAGGUCAUUUUUUCUAACAUCCAAACUGAACCUCCCCUGGGACAACUUGAGGCUACUACUCAUCCCAUCACUAUUACCUGGGAGAAGAUGCUGACACCCAUCUAACCACAACCUCCUUUUAGGGAGUUGUAGAGAGCAAUAAAGUCUCCCAUGAGCCUCUUCUUCUCCAGACUGAACAAUCCCAGUUGCCUCAGCUGCUCCCCAUAACACUUGUCCAGAUCCUUCACAACUUCAUUGCCCUUCACUGAACACACUCCAGGGCCUUGAUGUCUUUCUUGCAGUGAGAGACCAAAACUGACCACAGUACUCAAAGUGCAGUCUCUCCACUGCUGAAUACAUGGGGACAAUUAUUUCCCUGCUCCUGCUGGCUGCACUAUUUCUGAUAGUAGUCAAGAUGCCAUUGGCUUUCUUGGCCACCUAAGCACACUCCUAGAUCAUGUUUAGCCAGGUGUCAAUUAACAUGCCCAGAUCCUUUCCCUCCGCACAGCUUUCCAGUCACUCUGCCUCAACCCUGUAGCGUUGCCUGGGGUUUCUUUGACCAAAGUGCAAGACCCAGCACUUGGUCGUCUGAAGCUCAUAAAAUUGGCCUCAGCCCAUCAAUCUACCCUGUUCAGUUCCCUCUGUAGGGUCUUCCUACUCUCAUGCAAAUCAACUCUUUCUGCCGCGUUGGUGUCAUCUGCAAACUUAGUGAGGCUGCACUCAAUCUCCUCAUCCAGGUCAUCAUUAAACAUAUUAAACAGGACAGACCCCAGUACCAACCACAGGGGAACACCACUCAUGACCAAUCACCAGCUGGAUUUAAUUCCAUUCAACCCCACACUCUGGGCCCAGCCAUCCAGCCAGGAUCCAAGUGGAUCCCAUCCAGCCCCUUGGACUUGUAACAGUCAUGACAAGGCCUACAUUUAUCUAGUUUGUUAUAUAGUGCUGCCUGUGUGAUAUCUGCUGUCAAUAGUCUGUGAAUAAACUAUAAUGAAAGAUACCUACUGUUGCACUUGCUUACAUGGACCACUGUGUUAUUUUACUACUGGUCUCACAGAUUAAUAACAAAAAACAUGUAGUGUAGUGGGCAUUACUAGAAGAUAUUUCAAUCAAGCCACAUUAAUUCAGUAUUGAAUAUACAAAUAUUAUGAAAUCGGAAGGUGUUAUGUACUCUCAUUUUUACAUACAAGAAAGUUUAAACAGUAAAUCUAAGGUCACCUUGGAGUUUAAUUUGGAAUAAAAUAAACACACUAUAUUUAAAAAGGAAAAAGUCCUAACUGAUUUAUCACCACUUACUCUUUCUUUUGGCAAGCAGGGCUAGAAAUAAUUACUGUCUGCGUAAAAUAUUCCUUCCAAAGAAAAAAAAAAAAAAAAACAUUUAAAAUGAAAUAAUUGUAUUCUUAAAAGUAGAGCCUGCAGAAAAAAAUGUAAAGCACUGAAAUACUUUUACUACUUUUGAAGCAUAAUUAUGUAAUUGCAUAAUUAAUUAUAUAUUUCUAAAAGAUAGGGUAGUGGCUUUACAUGGAGAAGUCUAGAUUUGUUACUUUUAUGUUCUACAUUAUCAUUUCCUGUUCUUCCAUCUGAAGGCAUUGUGGUGUAAUAAAAUUUGAUACUUUACAAUGCACACUGUUAAUCUUCUUCAAUACACAAAGAUUUUUAAAGAAUAAAGAUUUAAAACAAAUGAAAUCAUAAAUAUUUUUGUUAUAUAUAUGUACACCUUUCACCUUUCUUUCUGAUUUUCAUGCACUGUGGAUGAAGAAGUAAGAACGCUUUGCUUACAGUAAUGUACCACCAGCAUUCUUGUAUUAAAAUA